AAUUCACACAGACAAAACUAAAGUUCUACGGUCUUCAAGAUGACUAUGUGCUAGAAAGAUCCAGUUGUUUUAGCGAUAAUAAUAAUAAUAAUAAUAAUAAUAAUAAUAAUAAUUUCUAAGUUAAGAUAAAUAUAUCACAUCAUCUUGUGCCGUAGAAAUACAAAAGAUCGUUCUAUUUGUGCAGAGACAAAAAUGUGAAAAGCUAUAGCAUUCACUUUCCUAAAAGGAACAAGUGUUUGCAACCAAAAUCGUUUAACUAAUGAAAAACGUCACAUUGUGUCUCUUAUGUCACCCUAAACUUCAUCUGAUUAAAUUUUCUUCACUCAAGCAUCUCAAAGUUUUUUCUUAAAAACAACUCAGUUGAGCCACCAAUCUUUGAAGUGAAGUAUCAAGCACAACCUACAAAUAAACCAAGAAUAGCACACUCAGUAGAUGGAAAGCAAUUUAUCCUACAAUAUAGUUAUCAUGGCUAACCUUUAAAAGGAAUCGAGAGGACCCAAAUGACAAAGAAACAAAAGGAAUGAGAUAUAUACUGGUCAUAAUUAUGAAAAUAGGUGCAGAUAAAACUUAUGAAUAUGUAUAUAGCACCGGAUGAGACAAUAGAAGAUUGAUCUUCACACAUGUCAACAUGUACCAUUUAUCAAAAUUCACUUAGAAACAGAAUCAAGCACUCAGAAGAACCAUGUUUUUCCAAGAAAAUGAAAAUUUUAAAAUUCCUCUUUCCUGUGGCCUUACAAAUAAAACUUUUAAAUUCUCAUAAGAGCUUAGUUUCUCAUUUGAAGUAUAGCUUACAUCUUAACUCCAAAGUUAUCAACAAACAAAAGUAUUGUCACACACAUUUUUAUAAGUUAGUCAAAAGUUCUUCUUAAUGUUUAACUCUCCUUGAGCCCUCGCUUGGCUCGAUCAGAAGUUUCUAAAUUCUAUUAACUUAUUUUUGAUUAUGGCUUUUGUUCUUGCUCAGAAGGCCCUAAGCAAUCUUUACCCCAAAACACAAAUGUAGGCGUUCAACUCUUUCUUGAAGAGUCAUACCUAAUUUCCAUCACAGACUAUAUAAAUAAGUCCGAUUGUUACCUAUCAUGAUAUUGUAGGAAGACAACUUACAUUUAUUACUUUUAGAAAAAGCUCCACCAACGUGUUAUUUUAACUUUAUCCAUAUCAAUUGAUCCACAAAAGUUAGUGCAUCUAUGUGCAUCAGCAAUUGAAAUACAGAAAGUGAUGAUAUUAAUCACAGAAUAAAAACCUUGAAAUUCUAUUGACUGACCUGGGAUUUUUAGUUCAUAUAGACCAGGCACGCAUUUCCAUCACUGCACACCUAAAAAUCUAGAAUGGAUCAGAAAGAAAAAUCAGCAAGUAGAGAAUUGAAUGAUUUUUAAUAACAAUAGUUACUAAAAAUAGUUCUUGCAUUUAAAUGAAUAUUAACCUUUUCUUG
rnacentral:lncRNA from 1 species